rnacentral:rRNA from 1 species
UACGUAGGUGGCAAGCGUUAUCCGGAUUUACUGGGCGUAAAGGGCGCGCAGGCGGCCUGUCAAGUCAGUAGUGGAAGUCCACUUUUCAAGGAUGGAAGUGCUAUAGAAACUGAUGGGCUUGAGUGCAGGAGAGGUUAUCGGAAUUCCCGGUGUAGCGGUGAAAUGCGUAGAGAUCGGGAGGAACACCAGUGGCGAAGGCGGGUAACUGGACUGCAACUGACGCUGAGGCGCGAAAGUGUGGGGAGCAAACAGGAUUAGAUACCCCGGUAGU